rnacentral:rRNA from 1 species
CCUACGGGGGGCUGCAGUAGGGAAUAUUCCGCAAUGGGCGAAAGCCUGACGGAGCAACGCCGCGUGAGUGAAGAAGAUCUUCGGAUUGUAAAGCUCUGUCAACAGGGACGAUAAUGACGGUACCUGUGGAGGAAGCCACGGCAAACUACGUGCCAGCAGCCGCGGUAAUACGUAGGUGGCAAGCGUUGUCCGGAAUUACUGGGCGUAAAGCGCAUGUAGACGGCAUAGCAAGCCAAGUGUGAAAUUUAGGGGCUUAACCUCUAAACUGCGCUUGGAACUGCUGAGCUUGAGUGCAGGAGAGGCAAGUGGAAUUCCCAGUGUAGCAGUGAAAUGCGUAGAUAUUGGGAGGAACACCAGUGGCGAAGGCGACUUGCUGGACUGCAACUGACGUUGAGAUGCGAAAGCUAGGGGAGCAAACGGGCUUAGAUACCCCUGUAGUC